ACGUGGUAUCCUGUCUGAAUAUGGGGGGACCAUCCUCCAAGGCUAAAUACUCCUGACUGACCGAUAGUGAACCAGUACCGUGAGGGAAAGGCGAAAAGAACCCCGGCGAGGGGAGUGAAAAAGAACCUGAAACCGUGUACGUACAAGCAGUGGGAGCCUCUUAAUGGGGUGACUGCGUACCUUUUGUAUAAUGGGUCAGCGACUUAUAUUCUGUAGCAAGGUUAACCGAAUAGGGGAGCCGAAGGGAAACCGAGUCUUAACUGGGCGUUAAGUUGCAGGGUAUAGACCCGAAACCCGGUGAUCUAGCCAUGGGCAGGUUGAAGGUUGGGUAACACUAACUGGAGGACCGAACCGACUAAUGUUGAAAAAUUAGCGGAUGACUUGUGGCUGGGGGUGAAAGGCCAAUCAAACCGGGAGAUAGCUGGUUCUCCCCGAAAGCUAUUUAGGUAGCGCCUCGUGAAUUCAUCUCCGGGGGUAGAGCACUGUUUCGGCAAGGGGGUCAUCCCGACUUACCAACCCGAUGCAAACUGCGAAUACCGGAGAAUGUUAUCACGGGAGACACACGGCGGGUGCUAACGUCCGUCGUGAAGAGGGAAACAACCCAGACCGCCAGCUAAGGUCCCAAAGUCAUGGUUAAGUGGGAAACGAUGUGGGAAGGCCCAGACAGCCAGGAUGUUGGCUUAGAAGCAGCCAUCAUUUAAAGAAAGCGUAAUAGCUCACUGGUCGAGUCGGCCUGCGCGGAAGAUGUAACGGGGCUAAACCAUGCACCGAAGCUGCGGCAGCGACACUAUGUGUUGUUGGGUAGGGGAGCGUUCUGUAAGCCUGUGAAGGUGGCCUGUGAGGGUUGCUGGAGGUAUCAGAAGUGCGAAUGCUGACAUAAGUAACGAUAAAGCGGGUGAAAAGCCCGCUCGCCGGAAGACCAAGGGUUCCUGUCCAACGUUAAUCGGGGCAGGGUGAGUCGACCCCUAAGGCGAGGCCGAAAGGCGUAGUCGAUGGGAAAC
rnacentral:rRNA from 1 species